ACCGUAGCAGGUGAUAGUCCUGUACAUGAAGGUCAUUGUGGUUGGGUGGUUGUUGUACCCGAGUAGCAGCGGGCUCGUGAAAUCUGCUGUGAAUCUGCCGGGACCACUCGGUAAGCCUGAAUACUUGAUAUGACCGAUAGCGGAUUAGUACCGUGAGGGAAUGGUGAAAAGUACCCCGGGAGGGGAGUGAAAGAGUUCCUGAAACCGGUCGCAUGCAAGCCGUCAGAGCCUGUGUGGUGAUGGCGUGCCUUUUGAAGAAUGAGCCUGCGAGUCAGCGGCAUGUCGCGAGGUUAACCCGUGUGGGGUAGCCGUAGGGAAACCGAAUCCUAACGAGGGUGACAUAGUGGCAUGUCUUGGACCCGAAGCGGAGUGAUCUACCCAUGGCCAGUGUGAAGCGAUGGUAAGACGUCGUGGAGGCGCGAACCCACUUAGGUUAAAAACUGAGGGGAUGAGUUGUGGGUAGGGGUGAAAGGCC
rnacentral:rRNA from 1 species